rnacentral:rRNA from 1 species
GAUGAACGCUGGCGGCGUGCCUAAUACAUGCAAGUCGAGCGAACGGACGAGAAGCUUGCUUCUCUGAUGUUAGCGGCGGACGGGUGAGUAACACGUGGAUAACCUACCUAUAAGACUGGGAUAACUUCGGGAAACCGUAGCUAAUACCGGAUAAUAUUUUGAACCGCAUGGUUCAAAAGAGAAAGACGGUCUUGCUGUCACUUAUAGAUGGAUCAGCGCUGCAUUAGCUAGUUGGUACGGUAACGGCUUACCAAGGCAACGAUGCAUAGCCGACCUGAGAGGGUGAUCGGCCACACUGGAACUGAGACACGGUCCAGACUCCUACGGGAGGCAGCAGUAGGGAAUCUUCCGCAAUGGGCGAAAGCCUGACGGAGCAACGCCGCGUGAGUGAUGAAGGUCUUCGGAUCGUAAAACUCUGUUAUUAGGGAAGAACAUAUGUGUAAGUAACUGUGCACAUCUUGACUGUACCUAAUCAGAAAGCCACGGCUAACUACGUG